UAGGUCCGGGGUGGAAGUGCCGCAAGGCAUGGAGCUGACGGAUACUAAUCGGUCGAGGGCUUAUCCAAA
rnacentral:rRNA from 1 species